GAGAAGAAUCUGUAAAGCUCAGGAGGGAUAGCGCCAUGAUGAUCACAUUCGUUAUCUAUUUUUUGGCGCUAUCCAUCCUGAGUUUCAUUGGCUCUUCUU
rnacentral:pre_miRNA from 14 species